rnacentral:rRNA from 1 species
UACGUAGGGGGCAAGCGUUGUCCGGAAUCAUUGGGCGUAAAGAGCGUGUAGGCGGCCCGAUAAGUCCGCUGUGAAAGUCCAGGGCUCAACCCUGGAAUGCCGGUGGAUACUGUCGGGCUCGAAUCCGGAAGAGGCGAGUGGAAUUCCCGGUGUAGCGGUGAAAUGCGCAGAUAUCGGGAGGAACACCAAUGGCGAAGGCAGCUCGCUGGGACGGUACUGACGCUGAGACGCGAAAGCGUGGG